rnacentral:rRNA from 1 species
CGAGAUUCCCCCAGUAGCGGCGAGCGAACGGGGAGCAGCCCAGAGCCUGAAUCAGUGUGUGUGUUAGUGGAAGCGUCUGGAAAGGCGCGCGAUACAGGGUGACAGCCCCGUACACAAAAAUGCACAUGCUGUGAGCUCGAUGAGUAGGGCGGGACACGUGGUAUCCUGUCUGAAUAUGGGGGGACCAUCCUCCAAGGCUAAAUACUCCUGACUGA